UACGUAGGUGGCAAGCGUUGUCCGGAAUUACUGGGUGUAAAGGGCGUGUAGGCGGGAAGGCAAGUCAGAUGUGAAAUCCCAGGGCUUAACUCUGGAGCUGCGUCUGAAACUGUUUUCUUGAGUACUGGAGAGGAAAGUGGAAUUCCUAGUGUAGCGGUGAAAUGCGUAGAGAUUAGGAGGAACACCAGUGGCGAAGGCGGCUUUCUGGACAGUAACUGACGCUGAGGCGCGAAAGCGUGGGGAGCAAACAGGAUUAGAUACCCCGGUAGUCCCU
rnacentral:rRNA from 1 species